UGAGGGGCUGAGGGACUGGGGCAGUGCUGGCUCCCCGGGGUCUGUUACCGCUGCUUCUCCUCUCACACCUGAGGGUAUGAAAACCCUUCAGCUUUCUGAGGGUGUCAGGGGAAUGAGCACACCCAUUGUGGCGGACACCCAGCUUUACCACUUCGUGUGAAAUACAGAUAUGAACAAAUCCCCGCUGCCUGCGCUGACAGGGCAGAGCUUCCCGGAGAGGCUGCCUUGGUGGGACGGGGCAGCAGGGAAGGCCUGGGGCGAGCUGGGGCUGUUACCAGCACUUGUCCUCCGCUACGAAAUCGCGCAGCUGCGCCCCGUCGCUGCGGCGCUGCGCCAUGGGACCGGGCCCGGCCGCUAGGGCGUUGCUCUGCGAGGCCGGGCCGGGCCGUGCUCGUGCUGAGGGCGGGCGGGGAAAGCGCGGACGCGGUGCCGCCUGAGGCGCCGCCGUGCGGGUGCAUCCUGAGGUGACCUCGUAACCCGCGUCUCGCAGGUGAAAGGCAAAAAAAUAAACACUCUGGGUUUCCUCGUCACCUUAAAGUCCCUCAGGAAAGCGAACUUGACGUUGCUAGUACACACUAACCAUCGAUGCUUCUCAACUCUGAAGUGAAACCUCUGAAAACGAAGAUGUUAGAAGUGAAAACGUCUGAAGUUUUCUGGUUGUGAAUUUGCCAUCUCAGCCAUCUUUGCACUUUCCUGAUGCUUUGUACUCAGAAUUGGGUCACGUGUUAUUUUGCAAUGGUACAAUAGUCCUUUUAUGUGAGAACCACCCCUCCGCAACUUGCUUCCUCUGCGUCUUCAGUCUCAAGAUGAUAAAUAGAAAAUGCACUAAGCUCCAGAGUGGAACAAUCAUACUACUUUUGCCAAAAUCUGCAAAAUUAUUGCUUCAAGUACCCUAGUUCUGAAGAAGUUAACCAGAAACUUAAGCUUCAAAGCUCAGAUGUUACUCAUCUGUAGCGUGUUAUUUCAUGUGGCACUGGAGAAGCUGGUGUUAGAUGAUGCCCAAACCUCAGUUGCUAACCCCAGAGAACGAACUUACUUUUCUUGUGGAAGCUAAAAGUUUUGAAGUUCAUUAUAGCAUGAGAGGACAGCACGUCUGAUAAAACUACAAAUAAACCAGUUAUAAAGCUAAGACUAGAAGUGUGCCAUUACAUUGGAAUGACUAUGGGCCAGCUAGUCCAAAACAUACCUCUGACAGUGGUCAGUCCCAAAUGAAAAUGUUAAAAGAAAAUUGUACAGCAGACAAUCCUGGAUUUGUGUGCUCCUAAGGGACAAUCUUUCCUAACCUUGGGCAUAUAGUGGCUAGCUCAUACCCUUAAGCAAGAAAGUUUGGUCUGUGAUUUUACCUCUUUAGAGAGACUAAAGUACAAGCUUUUGAACUGCACUAGAUCUCACUCAAUUUUCCUAAGAUAUUGAAGAACUGUGAAUGUAGUAUGUGAUCUGAAGAGAAUGUCGGUGGAAAAUCAGAGAUCUUGAAAACUGCUGAAAACAGCAGUAGCUUUUCUGAAGAGAUUGAGUGGUGCCUUACUUGCUUACUGAAAGGAGCAGACUGAAGGGCCAGAUGAUACAUGUCAGAAAAACUAAGACCCUUAUCUUAUACUUUGCAACAUGAUAUAUUGCCAAUUUCCCUCUGAAUGUUUAAGAAGCUAUUGCAAAAUAUUUCCAACAUAGACUGCUCCUCUAAAAGUCUGGGUGCUAUCCAGGAUCAGACUCAGCAAUGUCAUCAUGUCAAAAGAGAGGCUGAUCUACAGGCAGUUCAGAAACAAGGAAUCCUGAAAUUGCCUAAGGUAAGCCAAUC